AUCUUAAAUAUGAUCAAUCUAUCUCUAAUAAUUGGCUAUGUACCACAGGCCUUCAAGGUGGCUGUAGUUAAACCCUUACUUAAAAAGCAAUCUCUAGACCCAGCUGUCUUAGCUAAUUAUAGGCCAAUCUCCAACCUUCCUUUCAUAUCAAAAAUCCUUGAAAGAGUAGUUGUCAAACAGCUAACAGAUCAUCUGCAGAGGAAUGGCUUAUUUGAAGAGUUUCAGUCAGGUUUCAGAGCUCAUCACAGCACAGAAACAGCUUUAGUGAAGGUUACAAAUGAUCUUCUUAUGGCCUCUGACAGUGGACUCAUCUCUGUGCUUGUCCUGCUAGACCUCAGUGCAGCGUUUGAUACUGUCGACCAUAAUAUCCUAUUAGAGCGAUUAGAACAUGCUGUAGGUAUUACAGGUACUGCACUGCAGUGGUUUGUAUCAUAUCUAUCUAAUAGACUCCAAUUUGUUCAAGUAAAUGGAGAGUCUUCUUCACAUGCUGAGGUUAAUUAUGGAGUUCCACAGGGUUCAGUGCUAGGACCAAUUCUAUUUACAUUAUACAUGCUUCCCCUAGGUAGCAUCAUUAGAAGACAUAGCAUAAAUUUUCACUGCUAUGCAGAUGAUACGCAGCUCUAUCUAUCCAUGAAGCCAGGUAACACACACCAAUUAGUUAAACUGCAGGAAUGUCUUAAAGACAUAAAGACCUGGAUGGCCGCUAACUUCCUGCUUCUUAAUUCAGAUAAAACUGAGGUUAUUGUACUCGGCCCUGAAAAUCUUAGAAAUAUGGUAUCUAAGCAGAUCCUUACUCUGGAUGGCAUUACCUUGGCCUCCAGUAAUGCUGUGAGGAACCUUGGAGUCAUUUUUGACCAGGACAUGUCCUUCAAGGCACAUAUUAAACAAAUAUGUAAGACUGCUUUCUUCCAUUUGCGCAACAUCUCUAAAAUUAGAAAUAUCCUGUCUCAGAGUGAUGCUGAAAAACUAGUUCAUGCCUUCAUUACUUCCAGGCUGGACUACUGUAACUCAUUAUUAUCAGGAUGUCCUAAAAACUCCCUGAAAAGUCUUCAGUUAAUCCAAAAUGCUGCAGCAAGAGUACUGACAGGGACUAGAAAGAGAGAGCAUAUUUCUCCUGUUUUGGCUUCCCUUCAUUGGCUUCCUGUUAAAUCCAGAAUUGAAUUCAAAAUCCUGCUCCUCACAUACAAGGUCUUAAAUAAUCAGGCCCCAUCUUAUCUUAAUGACCUUGUAGUACCAUAUCACCCUAUUAGAGCACUUCGCUCUCGCUCUGCAGGCUUACUUGUUGUUCCUAGAGUAUUUAAAAGUAGAAUGGGAGGGAGAGCCUUCAGUUUUCAGGCCCCUCUUCUGUGGAACCAGCUUCCAGUUUGGAUUCAGGAGACAGACACUAUCUCUACUUUCAAGCAUGUCUUUCAUCCUGUUUUCCUUCUUUCACCCCAACCGGUCGCAGCAGAUGGCCGCCCCUCCCUGAGCCUGGUUCUGCCGGAGGUUUCUUCCUGUUAAAAGGGAGUUUUUCCUUCCCACUGUCGCCAAAGUGCUUGCUCAUAGGGGGUCAUAUGAUAUGAUUGUUGGGUUUUUCUCUGUAUUUAUUAUUGUGCUAUCUACUGUACAAUAUAAAGCGCCUUGAGGCGACUUUUGUUGUGAUUUGGCGCUAUAUAAAUAAAAUUGAAUUGAAUUGAA